rnacentral:rRNA from 1 species
GAUGAACGCUGGCGGCGUGCCUAAUACAUGCAAGUCGAGCGAACAGACGAGGAGCUUGCUCCUCUGACGUUAGCGGCGGACGGGUGAGUAACACGUGGAUAACCUACCUAUAAGACUGGGAUAACUUCGGGAAACCGGAGCUAAUACCGGAUAAUAUAUUGAACCGCAUGGUUCAAUAGUGAAAGACGGUUUUGCUGUCACUUAUCGAUGGAUCCGCGCCGCAUUCGCUAGUUGGUAAGGUAACGGCUUACCAAGGCAACGAUGCGUAACCGACCUGAGAGGGUGAUCGGCCACACUGGAACUGAGACACGGUCCAGACUCCUACGGGAGGCAGCAGUAGGGAAUCUUCCGCAAUGGGCGAAAGCCUGACGGAGCAACGCCGCGUGAGUGAUGAAGGUCUUCGGAUCGUAAAACUCUGUUAUUAGGGAAGAACAAAUGUGUAAGUAACUAUGCACGUCUUGACGGUACCUAAUCAGAAAGCCACGGCUAACUACGUG